ensembl:snoRNA
CCUCCAUUUCUUGGCAUACAUGUGGUUGCAGUACUCGUGUGUGUAAUGUUUGGAGGAAAAGUGAAUGCAGUGCUAUGUCUUCGGUACCGGUGUGUGUUAUUGUCUGCCGGUUCUAUCCUCAAUCGCUGCUACAUUU